rnacentral:rRNA from 1 species
CGUGAGUGGCGGACGGGUGAGUAACGCGUGGGUAACCUGCCCUGUACAGGGGGAUAACGGCUGGAAACGGCUGCUAAUACCGCAUAAGCGCACAGUACCGCAUGGUACCGUGUGAAAAACUCCGGUGGUAUGAGAUGGACCCGCGUCUGAUUAGCUAGUUGGUGGGGUAACGGCCUACCAAGGCGACGAUCAGUAGCCGACCUGAGAGGGUGACCGGCCACAUUGGGACUGAGACACGGCCCAA